AAAACUUUCAACAACGGAUCUCUUGGUUCUGGCAUCGAUGAAGAACGCAGCGAAAUGCGAUAAGUAAUGUGAAUUGCAGAAUUCAGUGAAUCAUCGAAUCUUUGAACGCACAUUGCGCCCGCCAGCACUCUGGCGGGCAUGCCUGUUCGAGCGUCAUUACACCCCUCGGGCGCCCCCGGGCGCCCGGUGCUGGGGACCGGCCGUGCCCGCCACGGCCGCCCCCCAAAUGGAUCGGCGGCAGCGCCUCGCGCGACCCCCUGCGUAGUAGAAGCAACCACGUUGACAACACGACCGCACCGGGAGCCAGGCGCGGCCACGGCCGCAAAACGCCCAACUCUUCUGAAGUUGACCUCGAAUCAGGUAGGGAUACCCGCUGAACUUAAGCAUAUCAAUAAGCGGAGGAAAAGAAACCAACAGGGAUUGCCCCAGUAACGGCGAGUGAAGCGGCAACAGCUCAAAUUUGAAAUCUGGCCCCCCCCGGGGGGCCCGAGUUGUAAUUUGCAGAGGAUGCUUUGGGCGAGGCGCCUUCCGAGUUCCCUGGAACGGGACGCCACAGAGGGUGAGAGCCCCGUCUGGUCGGACGCCGAGCCUCUGUAAAGCUCCUUCGACGAGUCGAGUAGUUUGGGAAUGCUGCUCAAAAUGGGAGGUAUAUGUCUUCUAAAGCUAAAUACCGGCCAGAGACCGAUAGCGCACAAGUAGAGUGAUCGAAAGAUGAAAAGCACCUUGAAAAGGGGGUUAAACAGUACGUGAAAUUGUUGAAAGGGAAGCGCUCGUGACCAGACUUGGGGCGGGCGGAUCAGCCGGCGUUCUCGCCGGCGCACUCCGCCCGUCCCAGGCCAGCAUCAGUUCGCGCCGGGGGACAAAGGCGGCGGGAACGUGGCUCCCCAGGGAGUGUUAUAGCCCGCCGCGCCAUGCCCCGGGGGCGGACUGAGGGCCGCGCAUCACUGCAAGGAUGCUGGCGUAAUGGUCACCAGCGACCCGUCUUGAAACACGGGCCAAGGAGUCGUCCUCGUAUGCGAGUGUUCGGGUGUCAAACCCCUACGCGGAAUGAAAGUGAACGUGGGUGAGAGCUUCGGCGCAUCAUCGACCGAUCCUGAUGUUCUCGGAUGGAUUUGAGUAGGAGCAUACGGGGCCGGACCCGAAAGAAGGUGAACUAUGCCUGUGUAGGGUGAAGCCAGAGGAAACUCUGGUGGAGGCUCGCAGCGGUUCUGACGUGCAAAUCGAUCGUCAAACAUGGGCAUGGGGGCGAAAGACUAAUCGAACCUUCUAGUAGCUGGUUUCCGCCGAAGUUUCCCUCAGGAUAGCAGUGUCGAUCUCAGUUUUAUGAGGUAAAGCGAAUGAUUAGGGACCCGGGGGCGCAUACAUGCCUUCAUCCAUUCUCAAACUUUAAAUAUGUAAGAAGCCCUUGUUGCUUAGCUGAACGUGGGCAUUCGAAUGUAGCGACACUAGUGGGCCAUUUUUGGUAAGCAGAACUGGCGAUGCGGGAUGAACCGAACGCGAGGUUAAGGUGCCAGAGUAGACGCUCAUCAGACACCACAAAAGGUGUUAGUACAUCUUGACAGCAGGACGGUGGCCAUGGAAGUCGGAAUCCGCUAAGGACUGUGUAACAACUCACCUGCCGAAUGUACUAGCCCUGAAAAUGGAUGGCGCUCAAGCGUCUCACCCAUACCUCGCCCUCGGGGCAGGAUCGAGGCCCCGAGGAGUAGGCGGACGUGGGGGUCCGUGACGAAGCCUAGGGCGCGAGCCCGGGUCGAACGGCCCCCAGUGCAGAUCUUGGCGGCAGUAGCGAUUACUUCAAUGAGAACUUGAAGGACCGAAGUGGGGAAAGGUUCCAUGUGAACAGCGGUUGGACGUGGGUUAGUCGAUCCUAAGCCAUAGGGAAGUUCCGUUUCAAAGGCGCACUCGUGCGCCGCGUGGCGAAAGGGGAGCCGGUUAACAUUCCGGCACCUGGAUGUGGGUUUUGCGCGGCAACGCAACUGAACGGCGGAGACGACGGCGGGGGGCCCCGAGCAGAGUUCUCUUUUCUUCUUAACGGUCUCUCACCCUGAAAUCGGUUCGUCCGGAGCUAGGGUUCAACGGCCGGAAGAGCCCGGCACCUCUGCCGGGUUCGGUGCGCUCCCGACGUCCCUUGAAAAUCCGCGGGAGGGAAUAAUUCUCACGCCAGGUCGUACUCAUAACCGCAGCAGGUCUCCAAGGUGAACAGCCUCUGGUUGAUAGAACAAUGUAGAUAAGGGAAGUCGGCAAAAUAGAUCCGUAACUUCGGGAUAAGGAUUGGCUCUAAGGGUUGGGUGCGUUGGGCCUCGGGGGGACGCCGCGGGAGCAGGCAGCCACUAGCCGGGCAACCGGCCGGCGGCGGCCAGCAUCCGCGCGCCGACGCCCUUGGCAGGCCUCGGCCGUCCGGCGCACGUUUAACAACCAACUUAGAACUGGUGACGGACAAGGGGAAUCUGACUGUCUAAUUAAAACAUAGCAUUGCGAUGGCCAGAAAGUGGUGUUGACGCAAUGUGAUUUCUGCCCAGUGCUCUGAAUUGUGAAAGUGAAGUAAUUCAACCAAGCGCGGGUAAACGGCGGGAGUAACUAUGACUCAAACUGGCACGAAGCAUCUGGGGGCGACCCGGGCCGGGCACUGCCCUGUAGAGCCCAGAGCCCGGGGGACGCCCAGGUAUGGCACAUUCGAGAGGGUCAAGUAGCGUAAAAGGCGCUGCUAGUCGGGCGUGCCCUUCCGGGGGCACGCGCGGCGACAUCAUCAAAUUGUCGGGGACCUCCUAAAGCUGGCAGCUACCAAGCGGGCGCCGAAAGGCAGCCCGUGGCCGGGGUAAUGACCUUGGGUAGGGUAAAAACGCGCCAGAUGCCACAAUGGACAAUCCGCAGCCAAGUCCUACGUCCGCCGGGCCCCGGCCCUGCGGAUAGGGAUGCAGUUCAACGACUAGACGGUGGUGGGCUUCCCGCCGGGGGGCGCGACCUGCGCAGCCCGUCGGGGUGGCUUAAGAUAUAGUCUACUCCCAGGCCGAAAGGCCGGGUACUCGAGAGCUCUUAAGGUAGCCAAAUGCCUCGUCAUCUAAUUAGUGACGCGCAUGAAUGGAUUAACGAGAUUCCCACUGUCCCUAUCUACUAUCUAGCGAAACCACAGCCAAGGGAACGGGCUUGGCAGAAUCAGCGGGGAAAGAAGACCCUGGACGCGACUGCGGUUCGUCCUGAGCGACAAGCAUCAACGGGGUCAAUAGCGGUCGACGUGCCGCUAGUCCAGCAGCCGAUCAGUUGUGGGUGGCUGCGGGCGAGACAACCUGGUACGGGGGAGCCUCAGGGGCAGGGCGCGCCGGCGCGCCCUGCCCACGGUAAUCCCGUGGCGAGCCUCUCCUCCCUGGAGGGGGGGCCGUCGUAACGCGC
rnacentral:rRNA from 1 species